ACGAGUGUCCCAGCAGGAGAGGAGGGACUGUAGUGACAGGAACACAACUUGGACACGCCACUGGGAACAACAUCUGUUCAGCCCAUUUUAUGACCAAACAGUGGAAAUGAUCUUCACUGGCAGGGACACUGAUCAGGGAGAACAUACUGAAUGAUUCAAGAGCUGGACAGGAGGACCUGAAUUGUGCAAGCAUCUCCCUGCAUCAGACAUGAGUCUACAGAGAGAGAGAGAGAGACAACACAUGAUUGGAUCACACCAUGCUACGAAAGUCCUCCAGCCAAUCACAAACCUGCAAUUCGGUCUACACAUGGCAUGAGUAGGGGUGGACUGUGCGGGGGUGGAGGUGGAUGUGGAGGCCUAAAUGCCGGGCGUCGACCCACUGACGGAAUUAUUUCCAGCCCUUUCUACUUGCCCAUGUUCUUUCUUUCUUUCUUUCUCUCUCUCUCUCUCUCUCUCUCUCUCUCUCUCUCUCUCUCUCUCUCCUUUCUAAAGAUUGUCACCCUCCGUUGAUCAUACUGUAGGAGAUAAAUGUUUCUGACCUGUGUUGCCAAAGUUGGAGAAAGAAAUGAUCAUUUAUUCAGUCUUUUUCCAAUCUAAAUAAGAACUGAAUCCCGUCUAUGCAAGAGGCUCUUUGACAGUUACAAACUGCUGUACGAUAAGUGCAAGAAAA